UUGGGCAUGGAUCCCCACAUCCCCCCUGCCCCGGGCGUUCUCUCUGCACUCAGAGAUGAUGCACAAGAUGAUGACAUUUGGCCUCAGGCAGCUCAGUUGCCCCCUCAGACACAGACACGGGGCUGGCUGCUUUCCUGUCGUUUUUUGAGGCAUGGGAAGUGCGUUAUGUGUGUAGGGACACAGUGGAGCUCCUGGCCAGUUUAGUUCCAGCGUAUGCAAACACCCUGUGCUGGGGGUGGGUGUGGGGAUGGGUCAGGACGUGGUGUCCUCUGUCCCCGUCACACUGGGAAAGGCCACAAGUCUCUUCCUCUGUCCAGUCCAGCAGUGACCCCUUCUCUGUGUUCCCUGAGCACACUGUAGAUCCACACGGACCCAGCCAAGCACCCAAGCACAUCACACUCACCUGCAUCAGACCUGACUUUGGCAUGCUCGGCCCUAAGGAAAGAAACCCAAGUGUUUCUGCAAUUACCUGCCAGUCAGAUCUCAUGUGGCUCUGCCUUCAGGCCAGCAGUGGAUUUUGCCUCUGCCCAAACAUUUCUUUUGCCUCAUAAAACACAUGCAGCAUGUGCUGAACUGCCAGUGGGUUCAGCAGUCACCUCCACACUUAGGCAGAAGAGCUGAGCAGCGGCACUGCCAGUUUUGGUAGGUCAGUGUCUCAGACAUCUCCAGCAUUGCACAGCCAUGAUGUGCUCAAUGAUUCACAUAAUCACUGGCUGGCACUAAUCUAUUAACCAUUUUAUGGAGGCACAUCCCUGAUUCCUGCAUCUCCAGGCUGCUCUGAAGUGCUGAGCUGUAGCAGCUUUCUUGACAGGAACUUUAUUCUCCAUUUUAUGGGAUCUGCCCCUUUUAAGACACCUUGAAGCACAUGUACUUGGGGAGUUAUCCUUUCUCUUGCAUCCAAAGGCUGGUUCUUCUCCUUGACAGGUCCCACACCAGAAGGACAUAAAGAACAGCAGUGAGAGGCAGCAGGAAAAACCAGAAACUGAAGCAAAGGCAGACUUCAGAGAAGAACAAGGAUGUUAGCUAGCCCCCAAAAUAUGUAAAUAAACUGCACAGCAUCUUUGCAUGCAGGGAAAUUACUAAUUUGUCCAAAACUGGUUUGAGUGGGAGCAAUUUACUGAUUUAGAGGUAUGGUUCCCUGUGUGGCUGGUAAACCUCUGCAAACUCCUUAUUUGUCUGACUUUUGGUUUGGUUUUUUUGCAGGUCUCUUGAAGUGCUGUCUCUCUCCAGUUCCCCAAAUUUGAGAAAAUCAUAGUUGAUAAAAUGUCCACCUCCUAGUCAAAAUUGCUGCUACGACUCAGAGCUGCAGAGCUGUAGCUGACCUGACUGUGUUUAGUUUACUUCUGGAGGCAAGAUGCUCAGUGGUUGAAAAGCACAACCAAGCACCCUGGAGUAACAGAGCUGCCCUGAUUUCCCCCAGCUGGGAUCUGUUCCUGUCUCCCCAACAUCUGCACCUUUGUGGGAACUGAUUAACAACUGCUACAACACUGCUGGGGAGGGGACAAUGGCAUAAAAAAUGUUGGCCCCAUGGGUUUCUGUUUCUGGGUGGGUUUUGACUCUCCUGUACUAAGGAUCUGAGGAAGUUUAUUGCUGCAAAAUAAUAAAAUAUUUAAGAAUGAUCAAAUUUUGUGUGGAAACUAUUUGAGAGUGUC